rnacentral:rRNA from 1 species
CGCCUGGGGAGUACGGCCGCAAGGUUAAAACUCAAAUGAAUUGACGGGGGCCCGCACAAGCGGUGGAGCAUGUGGUUUAAUUCGAUGCAACGCGAAGAACCUUACCUACUCUUGACAUCCUAAGAAGAACUCAGAGAUGAGUUUGUGCCUUCGGGAACUUAGAGACAGGUGCUGCAUGGCUGUCGUCAGCUCGUGUUGUGAAAUGUUGGGUUAAGUCCCGCAACGAGCGCAACCCUUAUCCUUUGUUGCCAGCGAUU